GCAUGGUGUUGUUCGAUUAGCAUUGCACACAAGUACGUUUAACUGCUCUACAGCUCAAAAACAUAUUGGAUACUCACCAGUUGUCUCCUUGGAAGCAAGAAAACAUUGUUAGCAUGCUGAGACGACUCGUAGAGGAAAGAAGAGCUUGCCAAGAAACCAAACAUGACAUGCUUGGUCUCCUAAUGAAUGGGGGUGAAGAAAACAGAAAUAAUCUAACAGAUGAAGAGAAAAUUGAUCAAAUGAUAGCAAUUUUGUAUUCUGGAUACGAGACUGUUAUGUAACCAAGUAUUCUUAAAUAUUAAUGGUGUAUUUUCACACCCUACUGUUAUGUAAUAUUUGUGGAUAUGUUAUUUUGUGGGUAAUGGUGAUUGGUGAAUGGGAAAGUGAAUUAAUGA